rnacentral:lncRNA from 1 species
UGUCACCCUGUGAAGAAGGUGCCUGCUUCUCCUUUGCCUUCCACCAUCAUUGUAAGCUUCCUGAGGCCUUCGCAGCAAUGUAGAACUGUGAGUCAAAACUCUUUUCUUUAUAAAUUACCCAGUCUCAGGUAUUUCUUCAUAAUUGUGUGAAAAUGGGCUAAUACAGUAAAUUGUUACCGAGGUAGUCAGGCACUGCUAUAAGAAUACACACAAAUGUGGAAGCAACUUUGGAACUGGGUAACAGGCAGAGGAUGGAACAGUUUAGAGGGUUCAGAGGAAGACAGGAAAACGUGAGAAAGUUUGGAACUUUCUAGAGACUUGGAGGGCUCAGAAGACAGGAAGAUGUGGGAAAGUCUUGAACUUCCUAGAGACUGUUAAAUGUCUUUGACCAAAAUGCUGAUAGUGAUAUGGACAGUGAAGUCCAGGCUGAGUUAUUCUCAGAUAGAGAUGAGGAACUUGUUGGGAAUUGGAGUAAAAGUCACUCUUGCUAUGCUUUAGCAAAGAGACUGGCAACAUUUUGCCCCUCCCCUAGAGACCUGUGGGACUUUGAACUUGAGAGAGAUGAUUUAAAGUACCUGGCAGAAGAAAUUUCUUAGCAGCAAAGCAUUCAAGAGGCAGCAGAGCAUAAAAGUUUGGAAAAUUUGCAGCCUAACAAUGCAAUAGGAAAGAAAAACCCAUUUUCUAAGGAGAAAUUCAAGCCGGCCCUGAGAAGAGGGUUACCAUCCUCCAGACCCCAGAAUGGUAGAUCCACCGACAGCUUGCACCAUGCACCUGGAAAAGCCUCAGACACUCACUGCCAGCCCGCGAAAGCAGCCAGGAGGGGGGCUAUACCCUGCAAAGCUACAGAGGUAAAGCUGCUCAAGGCCAUGGGAGCCCAGCUCUUGUAUCACUGUGACCUGGUUGUGAGACAUGGAGUCAAAGGAGAUCAUUUUGGAACUUUAAGGUUUAAUGACUGCCCUAUUGGAUUUCAGACAUGCAUGGGGACUGUAGCCCCUUUGUUUUGGCCAUUUCUCCCAUUCGGAAUGAGCGCAUUUACCCAGUGCCUGUACCUCCAUUGUAUCUAGGAAGUAACUAACUUGCUUUUGAUUUUACAGACUCAUAGGUGGAAGGGACUUACCUUGUCCCAGAUAAGACUUUGGACUUUGACUUUUGGGUUAAUACUGGAAUGAGCUAAGAUUUUGGGGGACUGUUGGAAAGGCAUGAUUGUGUUUUAAAAUGUGAGGACAUGAGAUUUUGGAGGGGCCAUGUGUGGGAUGAUAUGGUUUGGCUGUGUCACCACCCAAAAUCUCAUCUUGAAUUGUAAUCCUCGUAAUCCCCAUGUAUCAAGGGAGGGUCCAGAUGGAGGUAAUUGGAUCAUGAGGGCGGUUCCCCCCAUGCUGUUCUCAUGAUAGUGAGUGCGUCUUGUGCACUUUGCAUACCAUAAAUGUUAAAAAUGAAGGACAGCCAUGACGUUCUUCAACUCCACCCUACUGAGCUGCCUUGAGGCAAAAACUCUUGGUUCCUCCCAUCAGCGCUCAUAUUGUGGGUAGUCAAGCAGAGUGGCUGGAAGUCUCACUACUCAGUGUGGUCCGUGGUUCUGCAGCGUCACCCAGGACCUGUAAGAAGUGCAGAGGCUCGGCCCCACCCCGGACCUACUGAACCAGAGUCUGCGUUCUAACAGAACCCCUUGGCGAUUUGUGCGAAGCGCUGGUUUAAAGUAGACUGGAUUCACACU